rnacentral:lncRNA from 1 species
AGCUUCUUUGGGUACUUAUAAUGUAAAAUAAUGAAAAAAAUUUCUCGAACUCAAAUUUUGUGAACCAGGGGGGGGGGGGUCUUUUCCAACAAACUAAAAAUGGCUCGCGCACAAAAUUUAAAAGCUGUAAUAAUAUUUUGAGUUGAUAGAUUGAAAAUUUGUCGGGUUUUUAAUUACUGUACAAAAUUUCAGACAAUUUGGUUUAGUUUAAGCCCUUUAACUAUUCAUUUUGUUCUAAAAAGUCAGCCUUUCGCAUGCUUAAUUAAUGCGUUUACCUAAUUUGCAUAUUGCUGACAUAUGCAAAUUAGGCAAAUGCACAAUUAAGCAUGCUAAUAGCUGAUUUUUCGGGAAAAUUGUAACUUUGCGUGAAUAGUUAAGGGGCUUAAACCAAACCAAAUUGUCUGAAAUUUUGUACAGUAAUUAAAAUCCCGACAAAUUUUCCAUCUGUUAACUCAAAAUAUGAUUGCAGCUUUUAAAUUUUGUGCGCGAGCUAUUUUUAGUUUGUUGGAAAAGACACACCCCCCCCCCCUGGUUCACAAAAUUUGAGUUCGAAAAUUUUUUUUCAUUAUUUUACAUUAUAAGUGCCCAAAGAAGCUAUAUA